CGCCGCCGGCAGCGCCGCCUCCCCGCGGGCCCCUCUCACAACCCCCGGCACACGGGGCGCUGCCGCGCACUGACAGGCUCUCGCAGGUGCCGCGCUCUCCCCGGGACGCGGAGGGGCGGCCCCCCUGCCCUCCCGGCUCCACACUGGCGGAGGGAGGCAGCGAGGGAAGGAGGUUGGGAAGGAGGAGCGGUGGGGAGCAGUCAGCAGCGCCGAUCAAAUUCAAUGCCUUGGAAGAAACUGAAAAGCAACAUGAACCUCCAAGCUGGGUCAGGUUGGAAAACAGCAUGAUAAAGAGGCUAGCAGAAAGCCUGAGAUGGGUUCAAUGCAAAAACAGUUUGUUUAUAUAAGCAGUUUAUUUUGAAAGUCCAUUGUGUAGGUACAUCAACUAAUUAAUAACUUCUAAAGCAACCUUACUUUGCUUCCAGUAGUGACAAAGCUGUGUUAUAUUAAUAAAAAUUGCUUCUCAUUGACAUUUGCUUGAAUUCACACUCUUGAAAUGUUAAUAAACUGAAGGUAUCUGUUUCACCUAUUUACCUAUGCUGCUACAAAGUGUAGCAUGCUACAUGGGACAGAACCAUCUGGAUUUGUUGGCAAGUGGGUAUGUGAACAUAACAGAAAAUGACAGAAAAUCUAAAAUAACAAAACUCUGAAGUUACACACAAUACAUUGGUUAAAGAUUAUUUUACUUUAUAGACCUUUUUCUUUUUUGCAUUUAUUGGUGUUAACAAGUGCUGAAGGAUGUUCUCUAAUUCGUAACAUGUAGGAAAUUCUCAACAAGCAACAAGAAUAGUCUGAGGCCAAGUUUCAGAAAAACAUAGGAGGUAUAUUAAUUCAAGUGAUUUUUAUUCCUGCUAAAAUCAGUGAGAGGAGGGACACCUUGGGUGGCUGUCUUUUGGAACAUGUUACUGAUGACCAGGAUUGGAAGAAGCUGUUUAAUAUGUCAGGUAUAAAUAACUCAGAUGCAAGCCUAGCUGGGAAGGUGUUGGACCUGGUACAGUGAGGCCAAAUAGUUU
rnacentral:lncRNA from 1 species